rnacentral:lncRNA from 1 species
AUUCAUCACGUAGUUUCGACAAACUUUAUGUUAAGCCCAAGGCUUUAGCAGCCUCAGACAAUUCUUGAUCAACCUCCUUUUCCAGUUUCUCUUCCAGUUUCUUUAGCGUCUCAUCUAAAUCGAGUUUCGGAGGCUGAGAAGAGGACUUCAAAAUUUGUUGCUUCAGCUUCUCAAUCUGAACUUCUACUUUAGAGUCAGAAAUUUUCGCAGGAGGUAUAUCCUUGUUUCUAUCUGACAGAAGAAGCUUCACUUUAGUCAAUUCUUUCAACAUGCCAUGCUUCUUCUUCAGCUUGUUAGCAUUAGGAGCUGCUGACAACCUUCGAUUAAAAUCUGCCUGUAGUUUUUCUAUCUUACCCUUCAGCAAUGGAUCAAGAGGUUGGUCAUCUGAACUUGCUUUUGAAAAUUCAUCACGUAGUUUCGACAAACUUUGUGUUAAGCCCAAGGCUUUAGCAGCCUCAGACAAUUCUUGAUCAACCUCCUUUUCCAGUUUCUCUUCCAGUUUCUUUAUCGUCUUAUCUAAAUUGAGUUUCGGAGGCUGAGAAGAGGACUUCAAAAUUUGUUGCUUCAGCUUCUCAAUCUGAACUUCUACUUAAGAGACAGAAAUUUUCGCAGGAGGUAUAUCACUCUUCUUCAUGUUUCUUUUUUUCUUGGGAUCUACAGGAAUUCCUUCCUUGAACCCACCGAGUUUUCGGAACUUAAGCAUGCGAUGUUUUAACAGGUCUUCUGUGUUCAUCUUAGUGAGUUC